rnacentral:rRNA from 1 species
GACGUAGGGCGCGAGCGUUGUCCGGAUUUAUUGGGCGUAAAGAGCUCGUAGGCGGCUUGUCGCGUCGACCGUGAAAACUUGGGGCUCAACCCCAAGCCUGCGGUCGAUACGGGCAGGCUCGAGUUCGGUAGGGGAGACUGGAAUUCCUGGUGUAGCGGUGAAAUGCGCAGAUAUCAGGAGGAACACCGGUGGCGAAGGCGGGUCUCUGGGCCGAUACUGACGCUGAGGAGCGAAAGCGUGGGGAGCGAACAGGAUUAGAAACCCCCGUAGUCC